rnacentral:rRNA from 1 species
UACGGAGGGUGCAAACGUUGCUCGGAAUCAUUGGGCGUAAAGCGCACGUAGGCGGCCUGUUAAGUCGGGUGUGAAAGCCCUGGGCUCAACCCAGGAAGUGCACUCGAAACUGGCGGGCUUGAAUAUGGAAGAGGGUCGCGGAAUUCCCGGUGUAGAGGUGAAAUUCGUAGAUAUCGGGAGGAACACCAGUGGCGAAGGCGGCGACCUGGGCCAAUAUUGACGCUGAGGUGCGAAAGCGUGGGGAGCAAACGGGG